AAACCCCCCGCCAUAGCUAUUUCCAUUUUCCAACCUUUCCCUUUUCCCUCUUCCUCCUCUAAUCUCUGCAGCUUCUCUAUUCUCUCUCACAAAUUACGUACGGCUCCUCCAACGAACGGCGCUUCUCUCCAUCUCUCUCAGCAAUCGAAUGGAGUUUGCUUCUGUUCUGUUUCCCUUCAGAUGGACUUGCGAUGUUACUGUUGGUUUUUCUGUGACCUUUUGCAGUAGAAGCCUGGGUUGGAUUUUGUUGUAGAAUUGGGAUUGAAGGAGCGAAAUCAAGAUGCUGUGGGGUUCGUCAUUUGUUAAUUACAACAUGAACUGCAUUCGCUUGGUGGUGUUCUUUCGUGUCAUUCUGUAAUUCCAUUUCAUUUCGGUGAACUGUACGUGGCGUUUGAACGAAUUCUUUUAGCUGGUAUUUGCUACUUUUAAAACUGGUGUGAGGAUUGAGAAUGUACAUUGGAGUAACCAUAAAAAGAUAUCGAGCAGUGAUAGAAGUUGGGAAGAUUAAAAAGUGAGUGUCAGGAUCAUCACAUACUACCAACUGAUACAAGUUUGCCAGGAAAUGCUGAUAGUGGAUUGAACAGACUCUGGCAGAAGAAGAAAGUCGAAAUCCGCCAACAGGAGGGCAAGGGAGAAAGAAUCUAGCUAGUUAAUAUUUGUUUUUGAUGUUCUAUUCAAGAGUAGUGAUUAUGUACUCUUUAAGGAUUUUGCCUCCUUUUGACCUGUUGUUAAUGUUGCAACUAAUUUUUACUCUUUCAUGUGUAAAACAUAUUCAUGUUACUAUCUUAAUUAAGGUACU